rnacentral:rRNA from 1 species
AGCAUAUCAAUAAGCGGAGGAAAAGAAACUAACAAGGAUUCCCCUAGUAACUGCGAGUGAAGCGGGAAGAGCUCAAAUUUAAAAUCUGGCGGUCUAGGCCGUCCGAGUUGUAGUCUGGAGAAGUGCUUUCCGCGCUGGACCGUGUACAAGUCUCUUGGAACAGAGCGUCAUAGAGGGUGAGAAUCCCGUCUUUGACACGGACUACCAGUGCUUUGUGAUGCGCUCUCGAAGAGUCGAGUUGUUUGGGAAUGCAGCUCAAAAUGGGUGGUAAAUUCCAUCUAAAGCUAAAUAUUGGCGAGAGACCGAUAGCGAACAAGUACCGUGAGGGAAAGAUGAAAAGCACUUUGGAAAGAGAGUUAAACAGUACGUGAAAUUGCUGAAAGGGAAACGAUUGAAGUCAGUCGCGUCGUCCGGAACUCAGCCUCGCCUUCGCUUGGUGCAUUUUCCGGUCGACGGGCCAGCAUCGAUUUUGACUGUCGGAUAAAGGCUGGGGGAACGUGGCACCCUCCGGGGUGUGUUAUAGCCUCCAGUCACAUACGACGGUUGGGAUCGAGGAACUCAGCACGCCUUUAUGGUCGGGGUUCGCCCACGUACGUGCUUAGGAUGCUGGCGUAAUGGCUUUAAACGACCCGUCUUGAAACACGGACCAAGGAGUCUAACAUGCCCGCGAGUGUUUGGGUGGUAAACCCGAGCGCGUAAUGAAAGUGAAAGUUGAGACUCCUGUCGUGGGAGGCAUCGACGCCCGGACCAGACCUUCUGUGACGGCUCCGCGGUAGAGCGUGUAUGUUGGGACCCGAAAGAUGGUGAACUAUGCCUGAAUAGGGUGAAGCCAGAGGAAACUCUGGUGGAGGCUCGUAGCGAUUCUGACGUGCAAAUCGAUCGUCAAAUUUGGGUAUAGGGGCGAAAGACUAAUCGAACCAUCUAGUAGCUGGU